rnacentral:rRNA from 1 species
AUUGAACGCUGGCGGCAGGCCUAACACAUGCAAGUCGAGCGAGCGGCGGACGGGUGCGUAAUGUCUGGGAAACUGCCUGUUGGCGGGGCAUCACUACUGGAAACGGUAUCUAAUACCGCACACCAUCCGAUGUGCGCAGUUGGGAUUAGCUAGUAGGUGGGGUAACGGCUCACCUAGGCGACGAUCCCUAGCUGGUCUGAGAGGAUGAUCGGCCACACUGGAACUGAGACACGGUCCAGACUCCUACGGGAGGCAGCAGUAGGGAAUAUUGGACAAUGGGCGCAAGCCUGAUGGAGCCAUGCCGCGUGUGUGAAGAAGGCCUUCGGAUUGUAAAGCUCUUUCAGCGGGGAGGCGUUACCCGCAGAAGAAGCACCGGCUAACUCCGUGCCAGCAGCCGCGGUAAUUC